rnacentral:lncRNA from 1 species
AUGAUGAAAUCAUAAGUCUUUUAACAAUUAAUGACAAACAAAAAUCCAUCAUACUAGAAAAGCUUGCGAUUGUCGAGAAAUGUCUCUGUGACGGUGCUGACGAAUACUUGCAAAUUAUGGCGAUUGGUACAGUUAUAAUGGAGAGUGUUCGAUAAAUAGAAAAAAAAUGUUUCUGAAAAAAAAAA